rnacentral:lncRNA from 1 species
AUUAUGCUCAUUCUUUUUUUUUUUAACCAGUAAGGAUCUGGAUAAAGAAAAACAUUUUAGAAAACCACUUGUAGAGUACCAUGAACCAGUCUCUCUUCUCCAUUUUAAAAAAUUUAUUGACUCACUUUUUUUCCAUAACUUUUUGAGAUAUUAUUUCAACCACUUUGCAUUUAGAGAAAAAGAGUCAGAGAGUGAUUAAGAAAUCUGCCCAAUGCUAUACUGAUAGAAGCUGGGAGAACUGGGAUUUGAGCUUACAUAGGCUAGUUCUAGCAUUUGUGAAGUUCUCGCCUAAUAAAAAUUAUCUGUAAUCAUAACCAGAGCAAGUCAUUUCUAACCUCCUGUCUAUAGACACGCGGAUACAUUUGUAAUGUUUUUGUUUGUUUGUUUUUAGCACGACAGAUCAAUUCCUGCUGGCAUUAUAGUUCUUUAACUAUCAUAGCUUCUCUGAUUUUUCAACACAUCUGUCAUCCGUAUUCUGCAGGCAUAGCCAACUCUGUCAGUGUCUCCUCAGGCAAUCAGAAUCAACAGACAGAAUGUAGGACAGAAAACUGGCUGCAAACAUGUUGGAAGGGCUGGAGGAGCGAAAGAGGGAAGAUCUGUUACCUAGAGAUAGUAACUUCCAGAAGUUACCACUAUACUAGUGCAGGAGAAGCAGAAAGGAAGAUGCUGCUACCCAGAGCCCACAGUCAUUGUGCCCCUGAUGCCGCUGGAACCCCACUGCAGCUGCUUUACAGGAAGCAGGGAAUUAGCGCUCUUGCUGAUGCUACAGGUAUCCAGGAUCCAAAAGUCAUCAGCCGCUGUCCCUGUUGCAGCCUAGGGAAACUGUCCCACUGAGGUUGUUGGGGUACCUGCUACUGCAUCUACUGUCUGAACCAUGUUGCCUGAGCAGAUGUCCAGGGCUCAGGCUUGCCUGCUGCUGUUACUGCUGCCACCAUGUUUAUCAGAGCUACUUCAAGAAGAGAAGAAAUCCUCCUCAUUUCCAGUUUUUUCCAGUGCCUCCCAUUGCUUCCCAGAAUGCCAAAUUCUCUUUGAGAGACAGCUGAAAGGAAGGUUUGGAAAAGACUCUGGUGUAAGCAGAUUCUGCUUCCCUGCAAUAGGGGGAAAGCAUAGGGUGGAACUGGAGCUGAGAGCUAAUCACGAAUGAGCAAAUCAGUCUUCAAGACAUUUACCUUUCCUUGAAACGUUUCCCUUCUUUUACCGUGUUUUCCAUGUCAUUAUUUUUCCACAAUUCUGCAUCAUAUUCUGUUAACUAUUAAUGCCCUGGAUAAGUUUAUUUGCUCUUUCUUAGGGUUAAUUUUUCUCCUUUUCUUCGAAGCUUUAGUUUGCAGGUUCAGCUUGUGUGGGAAUUUUCAUCUCCCUCCUCUUCAAGACUCCUUGGAUAUCAGUUUUUUGGUUGCCUUCACCAACUCUCCCCCCACCAUCUCUAGACCAGGGCAUGGUCUUAGUUGGUGGCUUGGACUCCUGUGGCUUGGAGUCUUUGGGGAUAUUAGAGAUCCAGUCACUGAGCUGGCAAAGGGAACACUGUCCUUGCUUCCAGCUUUAUGAAGAACGCUUUGCUCUGUCACCCCACGUGAGUCCAACUCUUGGCUGCCUACACUGCCUGAGGCUUCAGUUCUGGCAUCGUGCUGCAUGUGAUCUAUUAUCCUGCUUUUGAAUAUGCCUAUGACUUUUCUUUAUAUAUUUUUAAAAAUGUUAUUAUUGGUAUGUUUACAGUGAAGGGAAGAAUGUGAAGCAUGAACUCAAGAGUCACAGUAAUGAUAAAUUUUAAUGAUUGUAAUUGUCCUAUCUGUCAUAAUACAUUUAUUUUGUUGAUUUGUUUGGAUUUUCUAGGUAAAUAAUCAUGUUAUUCAAGGAUAAUGAAUGCAGCCACCAUGUAAUCAUCACUGACUCCAUGGCCAUGAGAAAAGAGACCUAAGAAAUGAUGCCCAUCCAGAAGAGUGAAGACUUCCUGAAAAUGUUCUUUUAACCUAAGAUGUAGGUUAAGAGGAGUGAAAAAAUGUUCUGUUUCUGACUGAUGAUGGAGCAACAAAGAUCCUAAGAGCGAUCCCGCAAUUCAUUCAUCUUGAAUAGACUCAUAGAGCUUCAAGAGUGGGCUUCUGAAGCCCACUCCAACUCCAUUCUUGUUCCUUGGUCCCUCUGGAGCUGGUCUGGCCCCUAAGGAUGUAAAGGGGAGAAAAUAGCAUAGAACCACU